rnacentral:tRNA from 1 species
GAAAUAGGUGAUUCAAGAGUAAGCUUCUAACUUAACUCUUUAGCGAUGAAAUUCGUUAAUAUUUCU